UACGGAGGAUCCAAGCGUUAUCCGGAAUCAUUGGGUUUAAAGGGUCCGUAGGCGGCUUUAUAAGUCAGUGGUGAAAUCCGGCAGCUCAACUGUCGAAUUGCCAUUGAUACUGUAGGGCUUGAAUGUUUGUGAAGUAACUAGAAUAUGUAGUGUAGCGGUGAAAUGCUUAGAUAUUACAUGGAAUACCCAUUGCGAAGGCAGGUUACUAACAAAUGAUUGACGCUGAUGGACGAAAGCGUGGGGAGCGAACAGG
rnacentral:rRNA from 1 species